AGUUCUCGUUGAUGAUCGGUGCUUGCACCGAGAUUCAACAUGGAACGAGUGGCGGACGGGUGAGUAACACGUGGGUAACCUGCCCUUAAGUGGGGGAUAACAUUUGGAAACAGAUGCUAAUACCGCAUAGAUCCAAGAACCGCAUGGUUCUUGGCUGAAAGAUGGCGUAAGCUAUCGCUUUUGGAUGGACCCGCGGCGUAUUAGCUAGUUGGUGAGGUAAUGGCUCACCAAGGCGAUGAUACGUAGCCGAACUGAGAGGUUGAUCGGCCACAUUGGGACUGAGACACGGCCCAAACUCCUACGGGAGGCAGCAGUAGGGAAUCUUCCACAAUGGACGCAAGUCUGAUGGAGCAACGCCGCGUGAGUGAAGAAGGCUUUCGGGUCGUAAAACUCUGUUGUUGGAGAAGAAUGGUCGGCAGAGUAACUGUUGUCGGCGUGACGGUAUCCAACCAGAAAGCCACGGCUAACUACGUGCCAGCAGCCGCGGUAAUACGUAGGUGGCAAGCGUUAUCCGGAUUUAUUGGGCGUAAAGCGAGCGCAGGCGGUUUUUUAAGUCUGAUGUGAAAGCCCUCGGCUUAACCGAGGAAGCGCAUCGGAAACUGGGAAACUUGAGUGCAGAAGAGGACAGUGGAACUCCAUGUGUAGCGGUGAAAUGCGUAGAUAUAUGGAAGAACACCAGUGGCGAAGGCGGCUGUCUGGUCUGUAACUGACGCUGAGGCUCGAAAGCAUGGGUAGCGAACAGGAUUAGAUACCCUGGUAGUCCAUGCCGUAAACGAUGAAUGCUAG
rnacentral:rRNA from 1 species